GGACGAACGCUGGCGGCGUGCCUAAUACAUGCAAGUCGAACGCACUGACGUCGACCGAAGCUGCUUGCAGUGGACGUUGAUUGACGUGAGUGGCGGACGGGUGAGUAACACGUGGGUAACCUACCCUUAAGUGGGGGAUAACAUUUGGAAACAGAUGCUAAUACCGCAUAACCAUUCAGACCACAUGGUCUGAAUGUAAAAGACGGCCUUUGGCUGUCACUUUUGGACGGACCCGCGGCGUAUUAGUUAGUUGGUAAGGUAACGGCUUACCAAGACAAUGAUACGUAGCCGACCUGAGAGGGUAAUCGGCCACAUUGGGACUGAGACACGGCCCAAACUCCUACGGGAGGCAGCAGUAGGGAAUCUUCCACAAUGGACGAAAGUCUGAUGGAGCAACGCCGCGUGAGUGAAGAAGGUUUUAGGAUCGUAAAACUCUGUUGUUGGAGAAGAACAGGGACUAGAGUAACUGUUAGUCCUUUGACGGUAUCCAACCAGAAAGCCACGGCUAACUACGUGCCAGCAGCCGCGGUAAUACGUAGGUGGCAAGCGUUGUCCGGAUUUAUUGGGCGUAAAGCGAGCGCAGGCGGUUUUUUAAGUCUGAUGUGAAAGCCUUCGGCUUAACCGAAGAAGUGCAUUAGAAACUGGGAAACUUGAGUGCAGAAGAGGACAGUGUACUCCAUGUGUAGCGGUGAAAUGCGUAGAUAUAUGGAAGAACACCAGUGCGAAGGCGGCUGUCUGGUCUGUAACUGACGCUGAGGCUCGAAAGUAUGGGGAGCGAACAGGAUUAGAUACCCUGGUAGUCCAUACCAUAAACGAUGAAUGCUAAGUGUUGGAGGGUUUCCGCCCUUCAGUGCUGCAGCUAACGCAUUAAGCAUUCCGCCUGGGGAGUACGACCGCAAGGUUGAAACUCAAAGGAAUUGACGGGGGCCCGCACAAGCGGUGGAGCAUGUGGUUUAAUUCGAAGCAACGCGAAGAACCUUACCAGGUCUUGACAUCCUUUGACCACUGUAGAGAUACAGCUUUCCCUUCGGGGACAAAGUGACAGGUGGUGCAUGGUUGUCGUCAGCUCGUGUCGUGAGAUGUUGGGUUAAGUCCCGCAACGAGCGCAACCCUUAUGACUAGUUGCCAGCAUUUAGUUGGGCACUCUAGUAAGACUGCCGGUGACAAACCGGAGGAAGGUGGGGAUGACGUCAAAUCAGCAUGCCCCUUAUGACCUGGGCUACACACGUGCUACAAUGGUCGGUACAACGAGUUGCGAACCCGCGAGGGUAAGCUAAUCUCUUAAAGCCGAUCUCAGUUCGGAUUGUAGGCUGCAACUCGCCUACAUGAAGCCGGAAUCGCUAGUAAUCGCGGAUCAGCACGCCGCGGUGAAUACGUUCCCGGGCCUUG
rnacentral:rRNA from 1 species